rnacentral:rRNA from 1 species
UACGUAGGGGGCAAGCGUUGUCCGGAUUUAUUGGGCGUAAAGAGCGUGUAGGCGGCCUGAAAGGUCAGCUGUGAAAACUCGGGGCUCAACUCCGAGCUUGCAUUCGAUACGGGCAGGCUAGAGUUCGGUAGGGGAGACUGGAAUUCCUGGUGUAGCGGUGAAAUGCGCAGAUAUCGGGAGGAACACCUAUUGCGAAGGCAGCUCGCUGGGACGUCACUGACGCUGAGACGCGAAAGCGUGGGGAGCAAACAGG